CGUUCCCGGGCCUUGUACACACCGCCCGUCAAGUCACGAAAGUUGGUAACACCCGAAGCCGGUGGCCUAACCCCUUGUGGGAGGGAGCUGUCGAAGGUGGGACUGGCGAUUGGGACUAAGUCGUAAACAAGGUACC
rnacentral:rRNA from 1 species